rnacentral:rRNA from 1 species
CCCUUAGAUGUUCUGGGCUGCACGCGCGCUACACUGAUGCGCUCAACGAGUUUACGACCUUGCCCGGAAGGGUUGGGUAAUCUUUUUAAAACGCAUCGUGAUGGGGAUAGAUUAUUGCAAUUAUUAAUCUUCAACGAGGAAUGCCUAGUAGGCGCAAGUCAUCAGCUUGCGUCGAUUACGUCCCUGCCCUUUGUACACACCGCCCGUCGCUCCUACCGAUUGAAUGUGUUGGUGAGGAGCUCGGAUUGGCAGCAGUUGGUGGUUCGCCACCGGCUAUUGCUGAGAAGUCCUCCAAACCGCCCCAUUUAGAGGAAGGAGAAGUCGUAACA